rnacentral:rRNA from 1 species
GACAGAGGGUGCGAACGUUGUUCGGAAUUACUGGGCGUAAAGCGCGUGUAGGCGGCACAGCAAGUCGGGUGUGAAAGCCCUCGGCUCAACCGGGGAAGUGCACUCGAAACUGCUGAGCUUGAGUCCUGGAGAGGAUAGUGGAAUUCUCGGUGUAGAGGUGAAAUUCGUAGAUAUCGAGAGGAACACCGGUGGCGAAGGCGGCUAUCUGGACGGUGACUGACGCUGAGACGCGAAAGCGUGGGGAGCAAACAGG